rnacentral:rRNA from 1 species
CGUGCUUAACACAUGCAAGUCGAACGGUGAAGCAGAGCUUGCUCUGUGGAUCAGUGGCGAACGGGUGAGUAACACGUGAGCAAUCUGCCCCUGACUCUGGGAUAAGCGCUGGAAACGGCGUCUAAUACCGGAUACGAGACGUGAAGGCAUCUUCAACGUCUGGAAAGAACUUCGGUCAGGGAUGAGCUCGCGGCCUAUCAGCUAGUUGGUGAGGUAAUGGCUCACCAAGGCGUCGACGGGUAGCCGGCCUGAGAGGGUGACCGGCCACACUGGGACUGAGACACGGCCCAGACUCCUACGGGAGGCAGCAGUGGGGAAUAUUGCACAAUGGGCGCAAGCCUGAUGCAGCAACGCCGCGUGAGGGACGACGGCCUUCGGGUUGUAAACCUCUUUUAGCAAGGAAGAAGCGAAAGUGACGGUACUUGCAGAAAAAGCGCCGGCUAACUACGUGCCAGCAGCCGCGGUAAUACGUAGGGCGCAAGCGUUAUCCGGAAUUAUUGGGCGUAAAGAGCUCGUAGGCGGUUUGUCGCGUCUGCUGUGAAAACUGGAGGCUCAACCUCCAGCCUGCAGUGGGUACGGGCAGACUAGAGUGCGGUAGGGGAGAUUGGAAUUCCUGGUGUAGCGGUGGAAUGCGCAGAUAUCAGGAGGAACACCGAUGGCGAAGGCAGAUCUCUGGGCCGUAACUGACGCUGAGGAGCGAAAGGGUGGGGAGCAAACAGGCUUAGAUACCCUGGUAGUCCACCCCGUAAACGUUGGGAACUAGUUGUG